GCGGAGUGGAAGGCGGCAGGCGGAAGGGAGGGGGCCGGUGCGAGUGAGGAGAAGCUGGGCGUCCGCCGCGACUUCUCAUUGGCUCUCUGCCCCGCAGCCUACAAUGAGCCCGCCGAUUGGCUGCAGCUGGGUCCGCGCCGCCUUGUGAGGAUCAUCAUAUCGCCGGCCAAUGAGACGCUUGGUAGCAUAAAAUGUAUUGUUUGGGUUGGUGACAGCCUGUCGCUUGGCCGGCAUUCCAACAAGUCGCUCACCAUCUGCUGUAAAGGCCACAACUGAAGGGGUGGUUCUGGCACCUUCGGCAUUCUCCAGCACCUAAACUCCCAAAAUGUGAUAGAGACAUGAAUCCCUGGCCUGAACUGGGGAAGUCACUUUCAGGAUUAAAGGCAGCCAACAGAACAUCAGCACCCAGAGCCCUGGAGAACAGCAUCUGUGUUUGAGUGGUAAAGUGUCAACAGGCCGCUUAAGGAGGAGUGGGUAUAGGGAGAGAGAGGCUGCAUUUCUAAAAUAUCUCUGAGAACAAGCUGCUUUUCAGAAUUCAAAUCAACAUGUGAUCUUCUUCACUUUAGGGGUAUAUGCAGGAAGCCAUUAGACACAACCAGCAAAGGGCCAUACGGCAGAUAACGUGUGACUUCUUCCCUUUCGUGUACCACAGAAGUCCAUUGGUGGUGAAUAUGUGAACAGCUA
rnacentral:lncRNA from 1 species